GAUGAACGCUGGCGGCGUGCCUAAUACAUGCAAGUCGAGCGAACAGACGAGGAGCUUGCUCCUCUGACGUUAGCGGCGGACGGGUGAGUAACACGUGGAUAACCUACCUAUAAGACUGGGAUAACUUCGGGAAACCGGAGCUAAUACCGGAUAAUAUAUUGAACCGCAUGGUUCAAUAGUGAAAGACGGUUUUGCUGUCACUUAUAGAUGGAUCCGCGCCGCAUUAGCUAGUUGGUAAGGUAACGGCUUACCAAGGCGACGAUGCGUAGCCGACCUGAGAGGGUGAUCGGCCACACUGGAACUGAGCCACGGUCCAGACUCCUACGGGAGGCAGCAGUAGGGAAUCUUCCGCAAUGGGCGAAAGCCUGACGGAGCAACGCCGCGUGAGUGAUGAAGGUCUUCGGAUCGUAAAGCUCUGUUAUUAGGGAAGAACAAAUGUGUAAGUAACUAUGCACGUCUUGACGGUACCUAAUCAGAAAGCCACGGCUAACUACGUG
rnacentral:rRNA from 1 species